CCUACGGGGGGCUGCAGUGGGGAAUAUUGCACAAUGGGGGAAACCCUGAUGCAGCGACGCCGCGUGAGUGAAGAAGUAAUUCGUGAUGUAAAGCUCUAUCAGCAGGGAAGAAAAUGACGGUACCUGAGGAAGAAGCCCCGGCUAACGACGUGCCAGCAGCCGCGGUAAUACGUCGGGGGCAAGCGUUAUCCGGAUUUACUGGGUGGAAAGGGAGCGUAGACGGCAGUGCAAGUCUGGAGGGAAAGGCGGGGGCUCCACCCCCGGACUGCUCUGGAAACUGUACGGCUGGAGUGCAGGAGCGGUAAGUGGCAUUCCUCGUGUAGCGGUGCACUGCUUCGCUAUUAGGAG
rnacentral:rRNA from 1 species